GACAGAGGGUGCGAGCGUUAAUCGGAAUUACUGGGCGUAAAGCGCGCGUAGGCGGCUUUGCAAGUCGGGUGUGAAAUCCCCAGGCUUAACCUGGGAACUGCAUUCGAGACUGCAUUGCUAGAGUAUGGGAGAGGGAAGUGGAAUUUCCGGUGUAGCGGUGAAAUGCGUAGAUAUCAGGAAGAACACCCGUGGCUAAGGCGGCUCGCUAGGACGGUACUGACGCUGAGACGCGAAAGCGUGGGGAGCGAACAGG
rnacentral:rRNA from 1 species